rnacentral:misc_RNA from 1 species
GAUGAAGAACGCAGCGAAAUGCGAUAGGUAGUGUGAAUUGCAGAUGUAACGUGAAUCAUCGAAUCUUUGAACGCAAAUUGCACUCUCUGGUAUUCCGGGGAGUAUGCCUGUUUGAGGGUCGCCAAAUCAACAUCGAAAUUCAUUUGCUUUUGUAAAUGUUUAUCGGAUUUGAGCCGUCUUUUAUUUUUUUUAAUUUAAGUGGCUUAAAAUGUAUUUUUUGGUAUCGAAAAACGUUAUUUUACGAUCAAAUUGAUUAAAAAAAAACGUUUCAAAUGCCAUCUUUUAAUGUAAUACGUUUGACUGUGGUGUUCAUCAUAGGUUCAUUCGUAUACGAUUUUUUAAUUUUUGACCUCAAAUCAGGUAAGAACACCCGCUGAACUUAAGCAUAUCAAUAAGCGGAGGA